CGAGGAGGGAGCGUGCAAGGGGGCAGAGCGGCCCUCGCACACGCAUGUGCAAGGGCCUGAGGCCCCCCCCCCCCCGCAGGUGGUGCUGGCGCUGCCCUACGACACGCCGGUGCCCGGCUACUGCAACAACACGGUGAACACGAUGCGGCUCUGGUCCGCCCGGGCCCCCAACGAAUUCAACCUCAAGGACUUUCUUCGAGGGCAAGGAGCUGCGGCUGAAGCAGGAGUAUUUCGUGGUGGCGGCCACCCUGCGCGACAUCAUCCGCCGCUUCAAGUCCUCCAAGUUCGGCAGCCGCGACCCCGUGCGCACCUCCUUCGACGCCUUCCCCGACAAGGUGGCCAUCCAGCUCAACGACACCCACCCGUCCCUGGCCAUCCCCGAGCUCAUGCGGAUCCUGGUGGACGAGGAGAAACUCAGCUGGGACAAGGUGGGACCCGGGCGGGGACCCU
rnacentral:lncRNA from 1 species